rnacentral:misc_RNA from 1 species
GCUCCCUUGUUCUCACUGACCCGACGUCAUCACCAAAAGGCUCGUCUCGAUCGUCACCCCGGGGGACUACGUCUCACUUUUAUCUCGCCACUCCCGAGAUGAGAGGCCGACUCCGCAUUCGGGUAACGGAGAAGCCAAGGUAGGGGGGAAGGACAACUGCGCAGCACGCCGUGUAGUGUACUAGAUGUGUCUGCGCGGGUCGGAGAAGGAUCCUCUUCUUUUUGCAACACCAUGAAUCCCUCGCCGCAACCGUCCAGGCCGCGCAGAAAACGAUCGCCGCGACGUGCUGACGCACCUUUUGUAAGCGUUCUCGAUCUUCCUUCUCCAGAGGAACUUUAUCUUGCUGUGACUGCCGAAUACUCGGCGCGCGCACAAGCGAUCGAGGAGCAGCGCUUGUGGUUGGCCACUGUUUCCAAAGGCGCUGCAGCAGUGAAACCACCUGCUCGCCCGUCCGUCGGAUGUUCCUUCGGACCACUUCCGAUUCCAACAUACCCCCCGCACCAGGAGGUGCUACUCAGAAUCGAGUCCGCGGCUGUGGUUGCCCAUCGACUCGCGCACCUCACGUCCCACCCAACACCCACCAUUGUGGAAGCACGCAUGGCUAAUCGCACCGCCGCUGAAGCUAUCAGCGCGUUGCACCGUAUGAUCUGCCAACCUCCUCUGACACCAUAGCAGGCGUACUUGCAUGCGAUCGUCUUCCCUGACGCGAUUGCUGUUGUGCCCAGGGAAACGAGGUGCACGCCAAAUCGCGUGACGCGCAUUGGCUAGUAUGCGGUAAGGAGACGGAGGAGGGGCCGGAGAUUUGGUUGGCAUGAACCACCGUUUCUUCCUCACCCCUUUUCACCUUCCGUGCCUUUUGACUGAUGCACUGCUGGCGCCACCAUAGUUGCUCGGCCAUUCCGCUGCUGUGUCCGUAAAGACUGCGUACUUUCUGCCUUGUUGCGUGCGUGUCUGCGCACGCCCUCUCUACUUUCUUUGUUUCACUGCUUUUUACACCGUGGCAGCAGCUGCUGGUGUCGAUGCCGCUACUCUCGCUGACUGCCUCUAGGGCUCUUGUGCUCUGUGGCCGUUUGAAACGGUUUCCAGAAGGGACGCUUUCGUGGUGGGCAGCCCCCCCCCCCUCUCUCCCCAUCCAGUCGGGGCCACCCGGCUUUGUGUCAGAUCUUGAGGAAAAGAAGCGCAGAUAGGAUGAGUACAACAAGAACGGAUAUAAAAGAGGACGUUGUGUGCCGCUCAGCAUUUGCCAGCGUGAGCAAGACGAAAGCGAGCACACGACAGGAAGAGAGGCUCGCCUUCAGAUACCUCCACUACUGCAUAGCUGCACGUCGCUCACCGUUAUUCCAUCUACCGGCGUGGCGCACUGUCUCCUGCGCGGCCGCAUGCUGCACAUAUCCCCUUCUCUCCCCGUCUCUACUUCUUGCCCUCCUUUCGUUCGUUGGAACUACGGAACGAAUGCGUACGCGUCGGUCGCCCUUCGCUGCUCGGCCGCUUUCGUAUCAUUCUGUUUUUCCCUGGUCCGUCUUCUGGCCGUGUCGUGUGUGCUGACGAAG